rnacentral:rRNA from 1 species
AGCUCCAAUAGCGUAUAUUAAAGUUGUUGCAGUUAAAAAGCUCGUAGUUGGAUUUCUGGUGGGAGUGUUUGGCCGGCUCAAUGAGUCUUGUGCCUAUAUGCUUCUGCCAUCCUUGGGGAAAACUUGCUUGGCAUUAGGUUGUCGAGUUUGGGAUCCCCAUCGUUUACUGUGAAAAAAUUAGAGUGUUCAAAGCAGGCUUAUGCCGUUGAAUACAUUAGCAUGGAAUAAUAAGAUAGGACCUUGGUACUAUUUUGUUGGUUUGCGUACCUAGGUAAUGAUUAAUAGGGACAGUUGGGGGUAUUCGUAUUCAAUUGUCAGAGGUGAAAUUCUUGGAUUUAUGGAAGACGAACUACUGCGAAAGCAUUUACCAAGGAUGUUUUCAUUA